rnacentral:lncRNA from 10 species
CUUGACCGCAUGCACAUGUGUUUUGGAAGUCUUGGGCGAUACGUUGUCAUUUGUCUUUCCUACAUGUAUUUUUUCUGUGGGCUUUUUUCCUCCUCUCUUUUGCUGUAUUUGUUUUUGUGGGAGAGUUAGGGACCUUCCAAAACCAUGAAGCUGUCACCUUCUUCCUUCCUUUGCCUAAUUUUUAAAUGAUCACAGGCUGCUCCAGCAACGAUGCGUGUCAAGAAUGUAUGGGGAGACUGGAAGAACAGACAUGAAGCUACUGCUAUGGUGAGUUUCUGAACCACUGAGUUAAAGCCUCAUAUUGAAUGAAGAAAAUAACAACUGAAGAUAAAUGCCUUGAUAUCACCCUUCACCCCACUAAAAAUAUAGAAAGCUUUGCUUCUUCAGGAUAUUUUCAUUCUGCGAAGAGCUGCUCUCACUGACCAGAAAAUAAUGCCACAAACAACUUCAGCAACAUCCUUACUACGGCCCAUGAUCCCACUGGAAGUGAAAGCAUUGUUUCCUGUUGCUCAAGUAGAAAUAUCUUAAGGACGGUGGUUUCUGGAGACACUAAGAUGAUCUUCUUGCAGACUGACAGGCAUCUAGAUAUUUUCCCACCAUUCCAAUUCUUUCUUCACCUGAGAAGAGAGAGAAUCCAUUAUUUGUCCUAUUGCUUUUGAUAUAUGGUUUGAAGUCUCUAGCCAUUCUGCUAAAGAAGAUAAUUUUUAUGCACUUAAUAAAUGGAAGAAAACAUCUCCCUCUGUCUCUUUCUAUAUGUAUACACACACACGUGUAUAAACACUAAAAUUUAGAAAACACCAUAUUUUAGUGUAUGUAAUGAUGUAUACUUCCCGUAUUUUGGUGCUUUUCCAGGGAAAAGGAAAGAGAAAACAAAAGGAAAUUGGCUUUCAGUGCCUUGAAUGUGAAUGAAAAGAAUAGCAAUUGGAUUUCACAACCACUAAUCGUCUGGUUUGGAUAAGAAGGAUCCUUUUUGCAGUUAUCUGUCAGAGCUUGGCUAGGUGAAGAAGAUAGAUGGGCCUCAGAAAGCAAGGAAGUCUCUCUGAACUUCUCCCACCUAUUUCCCAAAGCAAACCAUCAAACCUAGGAAGGUUACACUCUGACCUACCUAUUCUGAGAGUAGGGUGUAAGACCAUCAUGUGACAAGUGUCCUGCCCCAUUCUUGGAAGAAAUGAAUACUACACAAAGAAACCAAAAGAAUGUGAACAAACAGGCCUUGUUGAGCUCAACCCCCAACUGUCAGCACCACCCCCCAGUUUGUUAAAUUAGAUCAUAUCUCCCUUUUUGUCCAAUCAUAUUUCUCUACAAUUAUCCACUUCUUUCAUCAGACAUAGCAUAAAAAUACACAGUGUCUCAGGGUGUUUGGACCUUAAUUUACGAAGAAUUCCAUGUCAUGUAAAACUCUGAUUAAAUAAAUGUUAUGCUUUUCUCUUGUUAAUUUGCCUUUUGGUACAGGAGCAUCAGCAUGAACCUAAUGAUGUUAUAUUGAACAUUAAAUAGCUCAACACUAUUUUUAAAUGGUAAUCUUAUCUAAUUAUUUAAAAUACUGAUUUGAUGUGGUCAAUGUUUAUUUUUUGUUAAACAUUUAGGUCUUUGAGAUGAUUGUGUACUUAACGAUGACACAGUACUUGAAAUCAUAAUGCAUUUAUUAAGUAUGAUGAAUAAUGUCUGUAUCAGUCUCUGAUAUUUAGUACUAGGAUUAAAAAUGCUGAGUUUUUUAGCUUUGCUUGUUGCUGAUAGACCUAAAAGGCAAUUUAAAAAUUCAUGUGGUGUACUGCAGAAAGAGUCACAAAACUGACAUUCAAAAUUCAUUAUACAGAGUCUUUGAGUCACAUUUCAAAUCUCAGUUGUAAUUUAACAGUAGAAGGUUUCAUCAAAUAUUGGGUCCCCACGAUAUGUGACUAGCAUCUCAAGCAAGUAUUCUGAAAACUGCCUCCUACACUAAGGACAUGACAAUCUCACACAAAGAAUUGUUUAUAUACUGACUUCCCAUGGCAAUGCUUUUGGUUAAAAAAGAAAAAAAAAAGAAAGGAAGAAAAGAAUGAAGAAAGAAAAGGAGGAAAGAAAAGAAAAGGAAAAGGAUUCAUCAAAUUCUCUCUAUGGCUAUCACAGUACAUGUAGGACUGAGUACAAUAGACUCUAGGGUCACAUAAAUCAAGGUAAAAAUUUGUUAAGUCACUCUUUCUGUAAAUAAUAUUAUAGUCAAAAACUGUCAAACUCCUGAUUAAAAUUUUUAACCCCAAAAAAGGAACAUUUAAGUAUAUUAACAAAAACUAGUGUUUUAUUGGAUUCAGUGAAUUCUAAGUUCGUAUGUAUUUUCAUUCUUGACACUCUGCUCUUUAAAAAGUGUUUUCAAGAAUGUAUGUCAUUUCCGUCUUUCCUCUGUUUUUCUCACAUAUCAUUCCACAUGUCCUGGAUAGGACACUGGGAUGCCUUUGUUAUUAUUAUAGGAUUUCACAUAUGAUUGUAGUAAAUAAUAUAUUGCCUAGGCUUUUUUUUUUGUAAAUACUUAAUCACAUCAAAUAUUCUAAUGUAUGAUGUGUUAGAUGAGUUCACAUGUUUUUGGAAAUGAAUAAAGCUUUUUCUUUGCAUUCAGGAAAUAAAUACAUGAUCCAACAGCCCCAAUAUAGGUAAGUAAAAUAAUUUUGAAAGAUUAUUUCUAGUUUUUAUUUUAUAACUCUAUAAGAGUUCCUAUAGUUUUUGCUGUUCACAUUACGAAAUGAUUUAUUGAUCACUCACAUUUUUACUAUCUUCAGAACACAGAAAAUUUCAUCAUCAUUUAUUUUCUCAAAUUUGGAUUUUUGUCUUAAAACUGCAUGGAAAAUGUGACCAGUGUGACAAUAAGUCCCAGUUUGUCUGAGACUAUCCAGAUGGCCAAUGUUGUCUUGGCAUGAUUACUAAUAGCAUCCCUUUCACUCUCAAAAUGUCCUGGUUUGUGAUAAUAAAUUGUACAGUCAUCCUACUCCUGAUCUAUUCAUUCGAUUUUAAAUUAUAAGAAUUUUCCAAAGUGAUAUCUAGAUAAAUAAUUGUCAUUCGUGGUUGCACAGGAAAUAAGGAGGGUAUUGACCUUGGUAAUUCCCAAAACUGUCAGGAUUGUUAUUGCUGCCAAGGUGAAACGUUUAGUGGCAAUAUUAUCCUUAAUCAUAG